GACGAACGCUGGCGGCGUGCCUAAUACAUGCAAGUAGAACGCUGAAGGAGGAGCUUGCUUCUCUGGAUGAGUUGCGAACGGGUGAGUAACGCGUAUGUAACCUGCCUGGUAUCGGGGGAUAACUAUUGGAAACGAUAGCUAAUACCGCAUAAGAGUAGAUGUCGCAUGACAUUUGCUUAAAAGUUGCAAUUGCCUCACUACCAUAUGGACCUGCGUUGUAUUAUCUAGUUGGUGAGGUAACGGCUCACCAAGGCAACGAUACAUAGCCGACCUGAGAGGGGGAUCCGCCAACCUGGGAACGGGACACGGCCCAGAACUCUAAGGGAGGCAGCCGUAGGGGAACUUCGGAAAUGGACGGAAGGCUGACCGAGCAACGCCGCGUGAGUGAAGGAGGGUUUCGGAUCGUAAAGCUCUGUUGUAAGAGAAGAAAGAGUGUGAGAGUGGAAAGUUCACACUGUGACGGUAUCUUACCAGAAAGGGACGGCUAACUACGUG
rnacentral:rRNA from 1 species